GACCGGGAAAAAGGACCAAAAACCAUCAGCGACUAAUAAAAGCGUCUUUAUUACAAAUUUCAUGGCGGCCGGAUAUCGAACACUGCAUGACAUAGUGGCAUCGGUGUUUGUAAAUCAAAACAGCGAGGGUGGGAGCGCGGGGCCAGGCCGUCUAGUCUGCCGCCCGACGCCGGCCGACGCGCACCGCCGCGGUCCUCCGAUACGCGAUUACGAUAUGGAACUGUGUCGUGUGUUUUGUUAAACUCGGAUUAAGAUAUCGAAACACAAUGCUAUAAAAUGCGAAUAGCAACAGUGCCUCUCAUCUCGUUAACGUACGCAGAAUGUGAGGGGAGCUAGCCAGUGACGUGAUGCAACUUGUAAUGCUAAACUUUUUAAUCAUGUUCGACGUGGUGUUCAUAUUCUUCCUGUUCCUGAUUGCUGUGACUUGUGUUAUGAACUACAUGCCGGGCCGGAGCAAGCGCUCGGAGGUGACGGAGGACGAGGUGGAAGAUGACGUCAUCCCGCCGCCGCCAUUGUUCGCUGGUGAUGACGAGGUUCCUACUACCAGCCGGGACACGUACGUCGUGAUCUCGCCCCCGCUAGACAACGUUAGAGCGAAGGACAGCUGUCCUGUGCAUGUGGUGUAGUAUAAGCACUGAUAUAAUAUAUCAACGUAGGAGUUUAUUACGAAGAAGCCUUAUGAGAAUGUAGGUGUCGAAAUGUAGACAUUUUUUACCAAUUAGUCGAGUUUUAAAUGAAUUCUUGUUAUGUAAAGACUAAGAUGGUGGAACACGGGACUCAAGUAUUUGAGUUGGUCUGUAUCAUGGGUACUUAUCAGAGUCAACUUCUUUCGAUUGCACUUUAUCGAGAAAUAGUAAAUAUACAUAGAGCUGUAAAGCGAACUUACAUGGUUACAAUGUAUAGAGGCCGUAUUUAUAAAUUGAAUAUAAAGUAAAUAGUCGCAAUGUUUAAAGAGUGUAGUUAAGAAAAUAUUUUUUACUUUUAAUUUCGUGUUUGCUACUGCGUCGCACAAAAGUUUGAUGAUUCAGCCGAGCUGUGUUUUUAGAAUUGUAUUUUAAAAAGGCAAUAUCACGAUUGUCACCAGGGGACUUAUCACUAAGAUAAUAGAAAACAAACACGUAUCUAAUAGAAUGACAAUAUAAAAAGCCUUAACCACUCAUAAGGUUUUAUUCAAAUAAAACAAACUUUUAAUUGAAUGUCAAUAACACUCUUAACUUAUAAUGGAAAUGUUUGAAAUGCAAUUUAGUUUGAACACAACGUUAUUGAGUAGUGUUAAUGCUAUUGGCCUAAUGAAGUUUCACUAAUAGGUAAUAACAGUAUUAUGAUACAUAAUAUUCGCAGUUAUUUUAACAAUGGCGGUGGCGAACUAAACGAAAAUUAAAAAAAAAAGUUAAAAAAAGAGAAUAAAAAAUAAUCUAAAUUCAAAACUAUAUUUACGUAAAUGUUAGAAAUAGAUCUAUUUCAAAUAAAGAACAAAAAUGGCGCACUUACGAGUAGGUGCUCAUUAAUUGAAUCGCGGAGUCAACAAAAAUUCCAACUACUGCAAGUGAGUGACAAAAGAAAGCGCAAAGACAGCGUAUACCGAUUUUCGUUUAGUUCCUACGUUGCCAGAUUCAGGGAACCUAACGCUACUGCUGAAAGCAGAAUUACUACGUGAGAGGAGGACGGCGCUAUACUCAAUGUAGAGCGACUUCUCGCUCUUACAACUGCUUAGAGAAGUGGUUUUAAGUCUCUCGAAGCAACCAUCUGUAUGUAUAUGUGAGCGAGUUAAUAAAUGAUUCGUUACGAAGUGUUCAAUUCACAUAAUAUUUGCAAGUGCUUGUUUAAGAUGAAUGUGACUGAAUAUAGGUAAAUGGUUAAUACCGUUAGAGUAAUAACUAGUUAUACGUUUCGCUUGCUACAAUAUUUUGUAUGAAAUAGUUAAUUACAUAUAACGCUAAUAUUUAUUUUAGUUUUAGUCUGCCGUAUGGCGGUUUACUGUAAGGAGUUUCAAAACUGCAUAAUGUUUUGAGUAUUAAGUUGUUCUGAGUGUUCCGAAUAGGCAUGCUGUUUGCUUUUUCGAAUUGUAUUGAAAUGUUGGAUGUGUCGACGACUCUAUGUAACGAAAAAUACAGCAAA